rnacentral:rRNA from 1 species
UACAGAGGGUGCGAGCGUUGUUCGGAAUUAUUGGGCGUAAAGGGCGCGUAGGCGGUGCGGUAAGUCACCUGUGAAAUCUCCUGGCUCAACUGGGAGCUUGCAGGCGAAACUGCCGUGCUGGAGUGUGGGAGAGGUGCGUGGAAUUCCCGGUGUAGCAGUGAAAUGCGUAGAUAUCGUAAGGAAGACCAGUGGCGAAGGCGGGUCUCUGGACAGUUCCUGACACUGAGACACGAAGGCCAGGGGAGCAAACGGG